UACGGAGGAUGCGAGCGUUAUCCGGAUUUAUUGGGUUUAAAGGGUGCGUAGGCGGAAUAUCAAGUCAGCGGUAAAAAUUCGGGGCUCAACCCCAUCCAGCCGUUGAAACUGGGGAUCUAGAGUGUGCGAGAGGUAUGCGGAAUGCGUGGUGUAGCGGUGAAAUGCGUAGAUAUUAGGAGGAACACCAGUGGCGAAGGCGGCCUGCUGGACGACAACUGACGGUGAGGCGCGAAAGCGUGGGGAGCAAACAGG
rnacentral:rRNA from 1 species